GGACAUUUUCGGCGGAUCACAAUAUUUUACUAUUAUAUUUUCUUUACCAACUAUCUACGUCUUUAUACAUCUCUCUCCAUCUACAGAAAAAUACAUCUUAUUUUUUUAGUGCAUUUCAAAGUAAAUUGCAGACAUCAAUACACUUCUCCCUAAAUACUUUAGCGUGAACAUCAUAGUAGAGUUUAUUAUUUCCUUGUUUUUCUUUAAAUUUUGAGGUAAAAUUUACAUGCAAGAAAAUGCAUGAAUUUAAAAUGUACAUUUGCUGAAUUUUAACAAAUGCGUACACCUGUGUAACCCAAAGCCCUAUCAAGAAAUGGAAUAUUCACCUCAACUGUGAUGUGCCAUCCCAAGCAGAAUUCUGAUUUUUUGUAUCAUAGAUUAGUUUUACCUGUUCUAAAUGUUCAAACAGGUGGAAUUAUUCAGCAUGCACUUUUUUAUAUAAGGCUUCUUUCACUCAGCUUUUUCUUUUUUUCCCCCGUAUUAGUAGUUUAUUCCUUUUUAUUGCUGAUAUCCCAUUGUAUUGAUUAUCACUGUUGCCCAAUUGCUGAGUGCCAGAUUUCAGUUUCUGGCUCUUAUGAGUAAAGCUGCUAUAAAAAUUCUUACACAAGUCUUUUUUGUGGGCACCUGUUUUUAUUGUUCGAUACUUUCACCGUAAGCAUCAAACAUUUUUGCCGCAUAACUGGCUGUAAGGCAAUUUGCUGUAAAAGAUAAAAUAACUGGUUGACAUUUGCUCCCACUUUUAUAUAAAUCUUAGCUCCACAUUUCCCAUGGAACUUUGGACUGUCUAUCAACGGACGUGUGACAACAUGCCAAGGACCAGCAACAGCGUAGAAGGCUUUUCACAAAGCAAUGCAAAGCUCAGUUACAAAUACGCAUCCUGGUAUUUGAAAAUCGAUACCUCUCUUAAUGAAGAAAUUUUAGCCAUAAACAAAAAGUGUGAUGGAUGCCAAACAAAGAGAAGAAUCAACAAGCAAAAAGAAAAAGAGUGUACUCCUAUGAACAAAGGACUUCAAAGACAAAUGCUUAGUAAAACUGCCCUACAGCCAAUUAGUUAUGCUGCAAAAACAUGUGCGAUGAAAAUACUUGCAGCAAAGAUGUUGAUGGCAAAGCUGCUUAUGACGAAAAUGCCAGACACAGAUUUUGUUCUCUUAGGCAAAUACCCAGAAGUAGAAUUGAUGAACCAUUGAGUAAGUAUAUGGUUAGUUUUAUAAGAAACUGCCAGAACUUAAAAAUAAUGAUUGCAUUAUUUUAUACUUCCACCAACAAAGUAUGAGAGUUCCAGUUGCUCUAAAUCUCUGUCAACAUUUGGUGUUGUCAGUGUUUUAAUUUUAGCCAUUUUGGUGGGUGGUAUCUUCGCAGUUUUAGUUUGCAUUUUGCUCAUGACUGAUGUUGAGCACUUUUUCAUGUGCUUAUUAGUCAUUCAUAUCUCUUUUUUUGUUAGAGUAUGUUUAAAUCUUUUCCUCAUUUUUAUCGUUUUUGAUAGUUUUAAGUAUAACAUGCUACAUCUUACUUGUUUUUACUUUAGUGGAUGGUUUGAGAUAGAAAUGAAAAAUUGUUUUCAAAUAUUGAACUAACUGUCCCAAUAUAUUUUAAAAAGUAUCUUUUAUAUUUCCACUGAUUUUAAAUGCCAUGUUUGUCUUUCUAUUGGAUACACUAGAUUUUGUUUCAUGGCUUUCUUUUCUGUUCCAUUGUAAUGCCUAUGCUUUCACUGGUACAACAUAAUUUUAAUUGUUGAGGACUUAGAAUACACAUUAAAAACUGGCACAACAAACUCACUCUCCUUGCUGUUCUUUUUCAGUAUUUUCUUACAUAUUCUUUCCCAUUCAUUUUUCCAGAUGAACUUUAGAAUCAUUUAGUAAAGCUUAAUCCUUUUGAUAUCUCAUUAUGAUUUUGACUAGAAAUUCUUCAAACUUAUCAGUUAAUUUUAGGAAAAUUGCCCUGUUUACCUAUUUUGACUUACCAUCAAGGAGCAUGCUAUCUUUCUCCAUUUAUUCAAGUUUCCUUUAAAUUUUACUGAAUAAAUUGACUAAAAUUGUUUGUUCUUUGGAAUUU
rnacentral:lncRNA from 1 species